UACAGAGGUCUCAAGCGUUGUUCGGAUUCAUUGGGCGUAAAGGGUGCGUAGGCGGCGCGGUAAGUCGGGUGUGAAAUCUUGGAGCUUAACUCCGAAACUGCAUUCGAUACUGCCGUGCUUGAGGACUGGAGAGGAGACUGGAAUUUACGGUGUAGCGGUGAAAUGCGUAGAUAUCGUAAGGAAGACCAGUGGCGAAGGCGGGUCUCUGGACAGUUCCUGACACUGAGGCACGAAGGCCAGGGGAGGCAAACGGG
rnacentral:rRNA from 1 species